rnacentral:lncRNA from 1 species
GUCCACCAGGGGUCUGAUGGGUCUGCCCUGUGAUACACUUUGCGACCACCAGGGGUCUCCGCUGGGUCUACCCUAGGAUACACUGCGACCAGGGGUCUGAUGGAAAAACAUACCGCAAGGGGGAAGCCUGGCUUUGUUAUUCAUGUACCAAGACGAUAGAGAACAGUAGCGGCUUCUGUUAUGAAGCUUUAAUGUUGACUUCACUGACGGGAGAACAAAACCAAACCGCAAACUCACAAUUACUACAAACGCAUACAUUCGUUUUAUAUUCAAAUUGAAUGGAUGCUCCGUACGAUAAACCCAGCCCCUGAAAUACGCCUGUUUGCUAGCGUGGUAAUUGGGGGGAAUGUUUCAUGAGCAAGAGAGGCCCAUGGGGCCGACACAGACUUAGUUUGGUGCCAUGUCUAAUUAGGAAGAGCAUGUAGGUCAUGCAGUAAAUACCCGCGGUGGAAUUUUCCUUGCCAUAAAAACCAACCCAAAAGUUUUGCAUAAUAUUCUUCAUGCUCCGAGAUGCUGAUGUUACAGGCCAUUCUGCAAAAGGUGAAUUUAAGCAGCAGGCCCCACGUUGUGAACUCUGGCCAGAGGAGGAAAACCCGAGCCAGGAGUACUACCACCUCCAUGGCCGGAUCUGGUGAGCGAUUAGCAGCCAUGCACCGACCCCUCACACGCUGUCACAGUCCUGCAGCCACUCACCUCACAUCUGUAGACACUCGCGUGUUCUCACAUCCCCCUAAGUAAACUCUGACCUUUACGUGGACACCGGGAGUGGCAGUUGAAUUAAACGCUUGUCAGUUCUCCGACCUUUAUGGAGAAAGGUUCGUGUUCCUCUUAAUGUCGGGGGCCGUGCCUCACCGUUCCGAACUCUGAAUCGAACGCAGAUCUGUGCAAGAAAAACAGUUGAGGUGAAUAAACACGACUAGGGGCUAAUUUAUCAGCGAUUCUCUCGCGAACAAGUACUCCCGUGCACACAGCUAAGACUGUGGAUUUGAAUUCAGCUAAAUCUGCACAUUUUCUACCGUACCCUCCCCUUCUCUCUGUGUUUCUCCCGGUAAAGCCUUGGUUAACACGGCGCGAGGGAGAACAGGGAUGCUAGUGUUGACGGCCGCGGGGCUGUUUGCUGUUGCGGUGUAAAACCCUUCCUAUCCCCUUAACAAGGAUUACAGCUGAAAGUCCCUUUACCGCAGCGCUACCGCGGGG